rnacentral:ncRNA from 1 species
CAUGGAUAAGGGCAAAUCAUUUGAAAAGAUGAGACGCAAAGCUAUGGGUCUAAAGCUUAAGGCUAUGGCUGCCAGGCUGCCAAU